rnacentral:rRNA from 1 species
UACGUAGGCAGCGAGCGUUGUUCGGAGUUACUGGGCGUAAAGCGUGCGUAGGCGGUGGUCCAAGUCUGGUGUGAAAUCUCCCGGCUUAACUGGGAGGGUGCGCCGGAAACUGGGCCGCUGGAGUACGGGAGAGGCAAGCGGAAUUCCAGGUGUAGCGGUGAAAUGCGUAGAUAUCUGGAGGAACACCCGUGGGGCAGACGGCUUGCUGGACCGUGACUGACGCUGAGGCACGAAAGCGUGGGUAGCAAACAGG